CUACCAUGUACAAGGGCACUUCUCCCCCAGAAGGAAGCUACCGUCUGGGACUGCCUGGCCCCUGAAAGUCAUCCUCAGGUCCCAUUUCUUCUACACAAGGAAGACUGCUGCACAAUGACCCACUCUGCCUAUGGGGACAGUGCUCAGUCCUGACUUCAGAGCCUUUCCAGUCAACCUCAUGGUCUUCUUUUCCUCCAGUCAAUCCUGAAAUAUGAGGUAAAUUCUUUUUUUCUGUUGUCUUUUUCCACUUUAUACUUUUGCCUCAGUGACCUCAUCUAAGCUAAUUCCAAC
rnacentral:lncRNA from 1 species